rnacentral:rRNA from 1 species
GGUUAAGCGACUAAGCGUACACGGUGGAUGCCCUGGCAGUCAGAGGCGAUGAAGGGCGUGCUAAUCUGCGAUAAGCGCCGGUAAGGUGAUAUGAACCGUUAUAACCGGCGAUACCCGAAUGGGGAAACCCAGUGUGACUCGUCACACUAUCAUUAACUGAAUCCAUAGGUUAAUGAGGCGAACCGGGGGAACUGAAACAUCUAAGUACCCCGAGGAAAAGAAAUCAACCGAGAUUCCCCCAGUAGCGGCGAGCGAACGGGGAGGAGCCCAGAGCCUGAAUCAGCAUGUGUGUUAGUGGAAGCGUCUGGAAAGGCGCGCGAUACAGGGUGACAGCCCCGUACACAAAAGCGCAUGUGCUGUGAGCUCGAUGAGUAGGGCGGGACACGUGGUAUCCUGUCUGAAUAUGGGGGGACCAUCCUCCAAGGCUAAAUACUCCUGACUGACCGAUAGUGAACCAGUACCGUGAGGGAAAGGCGAAAAGAACCCCGGCGAGGGGAGUGAAAAAGAACCUGAAACCGUGUACG